rnacentral:rRNA from 1 species
GACGUAGGGUCCAAGCGUUGUCCGGAUUUACUGGGCGUAAAGAGCGCGUAGGCGGCUCGUUAAGUGUGAAGUGAAAUCUCUAGGGCUCAACCCAGAAAACUGCUUUACAUACUGGCGAGCUGGAGUGAUGAAGAGGUUUGUGGAAUUCCUGGUGUAGCGGUGAAAUGCGUUGAUAUCAGGAGGAACACCCCAUGGGCGAAGGC